AACGACUCUCGGCAACGGAUAUCUCGGCUCUCGCAUCGAUGAAGAACGCAGCAAAAUGCGAUACUUGGUGUGAAUUGCAGAAUCCCGUGAAUCAUCGAGUUUUUGAACGCAAGUUGCGCCCGAAGCCUUUUGGCCGAGGGCACGUCUGCCUGGGUGUCACGC
rnacentral:rRNA from 8 species